GGUUCCUGGUCCCCGGGAGAAGCCAAGAAGGUCCUGAGUUCAAGAGAAACAGGUGUCUAAACAGAAGUAAAAUCCUGUGGAAGUUUAGGAUAAUUGAAUUACUCGCAAAUUGGAGUAUCCUGGAAAACUUCCUGGAGGAAGUGGCCUGUGCUUUGUAUCAGGAAAAAUAGAUGGAAAAGUGGUGAUGACAGAAAAUUGUCUGUUGCUUUUGGAAAAGAAAGAAAAAAAAAAGUGACGUUUCCCUGUGUUUGACAUCCUCUUCCUUAAAGGUAUCAGAAUGGUGCGUGGGUUUGGUUUGAAGCUAAAGAAAGGAGAAAGAGCCAGAGAAGAAGAAAAAAAGAUUCCCUGCAGCCUGCCAGGGACGUGGUAACUGCCCUGCCAAGAGUGAUCCUGGGAGAGCUAUUGAAAGAGCUCUGAGGCCUCCUUGGCAUAUGGAAGUUCCCAGGCUAGGGGUGGAAUCCGAGCCACAUCCGUGACCUACACCGCAGCUCACGACAACGCUGGAUCAUCAACCCACUGAGUGAGGCCAGAGAUCGAACCCGAGUCUUCCUGCACACCAGUUAGGUUUGUUACCACUGAGCCGCAACAGGAACUCCCAGGAGCUUUAUGAGUGAAUGAACAAAUGCAUCAUUCCACCCCCACCUCACCGCCGCCACCCCGGGGGAGAGAGUCUACAGCUUUUAGCAGAAUCUCAAAGUUUUUUGUAACCCAGGAAGGUUGAGGAAGCUGAUCCAGGCAAUCUCGAUGUAUAAGUGGGUACUCUAAGGCCCAGAGAGGGCCAGGGACUGGUUCA
rnacentral:lncRNA from 1 species